rnacentral:rRNA from 1 species
GUUUCCUACGGGACGCAGCAGUGAGGAAUAUUGGUCAAUGGGCGCGAGCCUGAACCAGCCAAGUCGCGUGAGGGAGGACGGCCCUACGGGUUGUAAACCUCUUUUGCCGGGGAGUAACGGGCGUCACGUGUGGCGCCACUGAGAGUACCCGGAGAAAAAGCAUCGGCUAACUCCGUGCCAGCAGCCGCGGUAAUACGGAGGAUGCGAGCGUUAUCCGGAUUUAUUGGGUUUAAAGGGUGCGUAGGCGGUCCGUUAAGUCAGCGGUAAAAUUGCGGGGCUCAACCCCGUCGAGCCGUUGAAACUGG